rnacentral:rRNA from 1 species
GGGAUAAACGUUCGGAAACGGACGCUAAUACCGCAUACGUCCUACGGGAGAAAGCAGGGGACCUUCGGGCCUUGCGCUAUCAGAUGAGCCUAGGUCGGAUUAGCUAGUUGGUGAGGUAAUGGCUCACCAAGGCGACGAUCCGUAACUGGUCUGAGAGGAUGAUCAGUCACACUGGAACUGAGACACGGUCCAGACUCCUACGGGAGGCAGCAGUGGGGAAUAUUGGACAAUGGGCGAAAGCCUGAUCCAGCCAUGCCGCGUGUGUGAAGAAGGUCUUCGGAUUGUAAAGCACUUUAAGUUGGGAGGAAGGGCAGUUACCUAAUACGUAUCUGUUUUGACGUUACCGACAGAAUAAGCACCGGCUA